rnacentral:rRNA from 1 species
UACGGAGGGUGCGAGCGUUGUCCGGAAUCACUGGGCGUAAAGGGCGCGUAGGUGGCGCGACAAGUCAGUGGUGAAAGCUCGACGCUCAACGUCGAGUCGGCCACUGAUACUGUUGGGCUUGAGCACUGUAGAGGCUAAUGGAAUUCCGGGUGUAGCGGUGGAAUGCGUAGAGAUCCGGAAGAACACCGGUGGCGAAGGCGGGUCUCUGGGCUGUUACUGACGCUGAGGAGCGAGAGCGUGGGGAGCGAACAGG